UGUGCUCCUGUAGGCAUAUGUCUUAGAUAGGAGAAUGCUGUUGGAAUUUCUGGUCUCUGCAUUGAGGGGCUGUUGGUCUUUUGGAAAGAUGUGCUUAUUGAAUGGGACAAGCUUGCCCCAAGAGGCAUUGCUAGGGCUGCUCCCAGACCUACUUGUGAUUCAAGGCUGUGCUUCUCCUCUGCACGUGAGACAGGUACUUCAAAGAGGACAUCCUCUCCUGAAGAACAGAAGAACCUGAAAUGUUUGGAGCCUAAGACUGCUGUGAUUGCACCUGCCAUCUUAUGCAGAAAUGACCUGAAGACAGACUGAAACAACGUGUUCUACAGCCUGAAAAUAUCUACCUUGACUUACAGUUUUAUUAAUGCUGGUGUGAUCAGACUGGACAAAAAUUAGCAUAUGUUAUUAACUGAUCUAAUUCAAGUGCCAAUUCUUAAUAGAAACACAAAACAAUAAAAGCAAUUCAGAAAAUAUUUA
rnacentral:lncRNA from 1 species